GUGGGAACGUGCAAUCUACCUUGAGAGCGCUGCAGAUGUUCUGGAUCUCGGCAUUAUAGUUGACUUUCUCCGUGGUCAUGACGAGCUCGACGACGCCGAGGCAUACCCGGCUGCGGGGCUCGAAGAUGGGGAGCGCGACGCUGCCGCGGAUGUCGAAGUACUGCGCGUGGUGUACGCGAGGGUACUCCUCGGUGGAGAAGUAGCGGACGUCGGGGGUCCACUCGGGGACGCGGCCGACGAAGACGCGGCCGGGCAUCCCCAGGUCGGUGCGCGCGGUCUCGUCGGCGGAGAACUGGUACUUCAUGGACACCGUCCGGUAGUUGGCGAGGCGCUCGUUCCGGCAGUCGAGCCAGAAGGGCUGGCCGCACGUGGUGAGCACCUGGCGGUCGCCGAUGACGG
rnacentral:misc_RNA from 1 species